rnacentral:rRNA from 1 species
GACAGAGGUGCCGAGCGUUAGGCGGAAUCACUGGGCUUAAAGCGUGUGUAGGCGGGCCGUUAAGUAUCUUGUGAAAUCCCCCGGCUCAACCGGGGAAUGGCUGGAUAUACUGGCGGUCUUGAGCGAUCUAGGGGCAGAUGGAACAAGUGGUGGAGCGGUGAAAUGCGUAGAUAUCAGGAGGAACACCGGUGGCGAAGGCGGGUCUCUGGGCCGAUACUGACGCUGAGGAGCGAAAGCGUGGGGAGCGAACAGG